UCAAUCGUACAUGUAUGUAAUUUACAAAAUAUCUACGAGUAGGUACGCGUAAAUAACCAAAUUGUUUGUAUACUCCUCGGUGUCGGCCAACAUUCAUGCUAAAUCUAUUAACUAACAGGUUUUGUUCUAUACCACCAAAAAUAACUUAAUUAACAGGGCAAUUAAAUUGAAUAUUCAACUGGAAACAAUCCUCAUUUGGUAAAAUUUUUCUCUGCAGCCAGGGCACUUUUCUGGAGUAUUGGAACAGGACGCGACAACAGCGACACAGGUAGAAGGAACAUAACAAAAAAGGCAGUGAAUGCACAUUAAUUCCCUUUAUCGAUAAAAUAUUGCAAAUAUUUAUUAUUAUCUGUUGAUUAUUUAUAUCCGAGUUCAUCUAGUUAUGCAAAUUGACGAUGAUGCAGUUUAACAUUACCUCUGCAAACGGGAUCAGGAUUGUAAUAAAAGUAUGCAUAUGCACUUACUCGCAAAUCUAGGUAGAUGGAGGUGCAGGUAAUGCACGAACGCCUGAAAAUAUGUUUUAUGUAUUUAUGCCAUACUUAACAAUGAUAAUUGAAAUAAAUUGAUAUUUUAUGUG